rnacentral:rRNA from 1 species
GGGGUGCUCGAGUGACGAACGGGUGAGUAACACGUGAGUAACCUGCCCUUGACUUUGGGAUAACUUCAGGAAACUGGGGCUAAUACCGGAUAGGAGCUCCUGCUGCAUGGUGGGGGUUGGAAAGUUUCGGCGGUUGGGGAUGGACUCGCGGCUUAUCAGCUUGUUGGUGGGGUAGUGGCUUACCAAGGCUUUGACGGGUAGCCGGCCUGAGAGGGUGACCGGCCACAUUGGGACUGAGAUACGGCCCAG